AGAGUUUGAUCAUGGCUCAGGAUGAACGCUGGCGGCGUGCCUAACACAUGCAAGUCGAGCGAUCUUCUUCGGAAGAGAGCGGCGGACGGGUGAGUAACGCGUGGGUAACCUGCCCUGUACACACGGAUAACAUACCGAAAGGUAUGCUAAUACGAGAUAAUAUGCUUUUGUCGCAUGGUAGAAGUAUCAAAGCUCCGGCGGUACAGGAUGGACCCGCGUCUGAUUAGCUAGUUGGUAAGGUAACGGCUUACCAAGGCGACGAUCAGUAGCCGACCUGAGAGGGUGAUCGGCCACAUUGGAACUGAGACACGGUCCAAACUCCUACGGGAGGCAGCAGUGGGGAAUAUUGCACAAUGGGCGAAAGCCUGAUGCAGCAACGCCGCGUGAGCGAUGAAGGCCUUCGGGUCGUAAAGCUCUGUCCUCAAGGAAGAUAAUGACGGUACUUGAGGAGGAAGGCCCGGCUAACUACGUGCCAGCAGCCGCGGUAAUACGUAGGGGGCUAGCGUUAUCCGGAAUUACUGGGCGUAAAGGGUGCGUAGGUGGUUUCUUAAGUCAGAGGUGAAAGGCUACGGCUCAACCGUAGUAAGCCUUUGAAACUGGGAAACUUGAGUGCAGGAGAGGAGAGUGGAAUUCCUAGUGUAGCGGUGAAAUGCGUAGAUAUUAGGAGGAACACCAGUUGCGAAGGCGGCUCUCUGGACUGUAACUGACACUGAGGCACGAAAGCGUGGGGAGCAAACAGGAUUAGAUACCCUGGUAGUCCACGCCGUAAACGAUGAGUACUAGCUGUCGGAGGUUACCCCCUUCGGUGGCGCAGCUAACGCAUUAAGUACUCCGCCUGGGAAGUACGCUCGCAAGAGUGAAACUCAAAGGAAUUGGCGGGGACCUGCACAAGUAGCGGAGCAUGUGGUUUAAUUCGAAGCAACGCGAAGAACCUUACCUAAGCUUGACAUCCUUUUGACCGAUGCCUAAUCGCAUCUUUCCCUUCGGGGACAGAAGUGACAGGUGGUGCAUGGUUGUCGUCAGCUCGUGUCGUGAGAUGUUGGGUUAAGUCCCGCAACGAGCGCAACCCUUGCCUUUAGUUGCUAGCAUUAAGUUGGGCACUCUAGAGGGACUGCCAGGGAUAACCUGGAGGAAGGUGGGGAUGACGUCAAAUCAUCAUGCCCCUUAUGCUUAGGGCUACACACGUGCUACAAUGGGUGGUACAGAGGGCAGCCAAGUCGUGAGGCGGAGCUAAUCCCUUAAAGCCAUUCUCAGUUCGGAUUGUAGGCUGAAACUCGCCUACAUGAAGCUGGAGUUACUAGUAAUCGCAGAUCAGAAUGCUGCGGUGAAUGCGUUCCCGGGUCUUGUACACACCGCCCGUCACACCACGGGAGUUGGGGGCGCCCGAAGCCGGUUUGCUAACCUUUUGGAAGCGUCCGUCGAAGGUGAAAUCAAUAACUGGGGUGAAGUCGUAACAAGGUA
rnacentral:rRNA from 1 species